rnacentral:miRNA from 1 species
GCAUCGGGCUGCCCAAAAAGCUUCUUCAGGCUUCCCGUAAGAUGGUACAGGAAAACCAGAAUGAACUUUUUGGCCAACCCAAUAC